GAUGAACGCUGGCGGCGUGCCUAAUACAUGCAAGUCGAGCGAACGGACGAGAAGCUUGCUUCUCUGAUGUUAGCGGCGGACGGGUGAGUAGCACGUGGAUAACCUACCUAUAAGACUGGGAUAACUUCGGGAAACCGUAGCUAAUACCGGAUAAUAUUUUGAACCGCAUGGUUCAAAAGUGGAAGACGGUCUUGCUGUCACUUAUAGAUGGAUCCGCGCUGCAUUAGCUAGUUGGUAAGGUAACGGCUUACCAAGGCAACGAUGCAUAGCCGACCUGAGAGGGUGAUCGGCCACACUGGAACUGAGACACGGUCCAGACUCCUACGGGAGGCAGCAGUAGGGAAUCUUCCGCAAUGGGCGAAAGCCUGACGGAGCAACGCCGCGUGAGUGAUGAAGGUCUUCGGAUCGUAAAACUCUGUUAUUAGGGAAGAACAUAUGUGUAAGUAACUGUGCACAUCUUGACGGUACCUAAUCAGAAAGCCACGGCUAACUACGUG
rnacentral:rRNA from 1 species